UAUUGCACAAUGGGCGCAAGCCUGAUGCAGCAACGCCGCGUGAGGGACGACGGCCUUCGGGUUGUAAACCUCUUUUGGCAGGGAAGAAGCGAAAGUGACGGUACCUGCAGAAAAAGCACCGGCUAACUACGUGCCAGCAGCCGCGGUGAUACGUAGGGUGCAAGCGUUGUCCGGAAUUAUUGGGCGUAAAGAGCUCGUAGGCGGUUUGUCGCGUCUGCUGUGAAAACCCGAGGCUCAACCUCGGGCCUGUAGUGGGUACGGGCAAACUAGAGUGCGGUAGGGGAGAUUGGAAGUCCUGGUGUAGCGGUGGAAUGCGCAGAUAUCAGCAGGAACACCAGUGGCGAAAGCGGUUUCCUGGACUGUAACUGACGCUCAGACGCGAGAGCUAGGGUAGCAAACG
rnacentral:rRNA from 1 species